AGUGGCCCAAGUUGAAAGUUACCGGCGUAAAGAGUGGUUAGGGAAAUAAUAAACUAAAGCCGAACACCCUCUAGGCUGUUAUACGCUUCUGAGGGUACGAAGCCCCACUACGAAAGUGGCUUUAAUACACCUGAACCCACGACAACUAAGGUACAAACUGGGAUUAGAUACCCCACUAUGCUUAGCCAUAAACUUUGAUAUUAACUUACCCCUAAUAUCCGCCAGGGAACUACAAGCGUUA
rnacentral:rRNA from 1 species